rnacentral:rRNA from 1 species
GACGAACGCUGGCGGCGUGCUUAACACAUGCAAGUCGAACGGAAAGGCCCUGCUUUUGUGGGGUGCUCGAGUGGCGAACGGGUGAGUAACACGUGAGUAACCUGCCCUUGACUUUGGGAUAACUUCAGGAAACUGGGGCUAAUACCGGAUAGGAGCUCCUGCUGCAUGGUGGGGGUUGGAAAGUUUCGGCGGUUGGGGAUGGACUCGCGGCUUAUCAGCUUGUUGGUGGGGUAGUGGCUCACCAAGGCUUUGACGGGUAGCCGGCCUGAGAGGGUGACCGGCCACAUUGGGACUGAGGUACGGCCCAGACUCCUACGGGAGGCAGCAGUGGGGAAUAUUGCACAAUGGGCGGAAGCCUGAUGCAGCAACGCCGCGUGCGGGAUGACGGCCUUCGGGUUGUAAACCGCUUUCGCCCGUGACGAAGCGUGAGUGACGGUAAUGGGUAAAGAAGCACCGGCUAACUACGUG